UUCAACUGCCAACAACAGCUAGAAGGCUCCUGGGUCUCAGCUGUGCACUCGCAAAUCCAAGAGCUUCACAAAGGCUGCUUUCUGCCAUUUUCCAAAUGCAGGCCCCGGGGUUUUGUUGAGAGGCAAACCGGUCCAUCUGAGUGUCGGGGAUUUGGCCUCAGAGCUUAAUUUAGAUAGAAACAAGGCUCAGUCUACCCCGAUUUCCUAACGGGACAUUUUUCAAACUUCCCAAGGCUUUGCGGGUGCUCCUCUUUAUUUAAUUCCAGGGACCCUCACUGAGGAGGUAGCAAAGCCCUAAGGGGUCCGAUUGGUGUCAGUGAUAGACACGGGAGUCAGCCGAAGCAAACUUCCAUAUGGACCCAAGCUGGAGGUGCCGAUUCAUUUCCUCCCAGGUUUCAAAAAAAGUAAUUUUGAGAAGGAGACAGGAAAUUACAGCAAGUUUCAUUUGUUGAUAAAAGGAAACAAAAGGUUAAAGCGGAGCAUUGUUUGCUGGGGAUUUUAUUAGUUCCCUCCACUGGGGCUGAUCUGUUUAAACUUCUUUCAUUACCGUACAGUGAUAUUUUCCUCGCGCUGACAGAGAGGACGGCCCUUAUCUGCAAGGGUCGGGCCACAGCAGGAUAUUGCGGCCGCUUAUCUGACCACGGAGCAGCCGAGCCCUCAGCCAGGCAAGGAAGAGCUGUACCACUAAUGGAGGAAAAAUUGCAGCGAGUCCUUGUCCCUGUGAGUGCUGUGAAUGGUGUCUGCUGUUGAUAGGAUCUGGCUGCGGUGCCCAUCGCCCUGGUGGUCUGACUGUCCAGCACCCCUCUGUGAAAGAUGGAGGAUACCUGACCUGCCCAAGGGCGCAUAGCCAUCCCAGUCUGGAAGGGUGAAGCCUGCUUGCUGAUCCAGCCUCCCUUAUAAAGUGAAGCCUCGGGAAACCUCUUCUUCCAAGAAGAAAGCAAUUCUUGUCUGGCUAAAGCACUGACUCCGCAAACUUAGCAUCUCCCCCCCUUGGACACACUUGUUCUACAGGAGGCCUCUUGGGGUUCUUCGGGACAUGAAUCUGCUAGUGGCCAGGUGGAAGAGCUUCCUAGCCUGUGGAUAGCCCAACAGUAGAAUUCUGCCCACGUCUGGAAAGAUGGACCACAGGGCCCAUCUGUGUUAAGUUUGUUAAGUAUGCACUGUUUUAUGCUCUGUAGCUCUGGGGAGAGUAGAGUCUUGGCUAACUGCUUUGAUUGUUACUUCUCAUGACAGAGUUUCGUUUGGGGUUACAGGAUACACUUUGCAAUUUUCAGAAGAGUCCACGGGACAUUUAGAACGCAUUGGUGACUUUCUGUGGAAUAUUGGCCACUGUGACUGCCCAUCUUACUCAGGUAUAUGAGAAGAACGUGAGCAACUCAUUGAGCCAGAUCGUAGAGGAUUACAGGUUGACGUUUUAAAUUAUUGUCUGACUGGAAUGCAUAGCAAUUUUAUUUUACUCAUAAAUAUUUUUCUAUGGCUUUAUAUGUACAAGUCUAACCUAUGAUGCACAGCUCUACCCAGGAUUUGUAGCAAACUGGAAAAUAGCUGUCUGCCUCAGGAGUGCUUCAAAAGUCAGGCUGCAUGACUGGAAUGUCCUCAGCCCCUAUCCUGAGGUACUGUAUUUAUUAAGUUAAUUUUCAUUUUUUAAAAAUUAUGUGUAUGGGGACACAGUCUAGGUACAUGUAUGGAGUGCAGGAGUGCACGGGACAGAGGCAUCCAGUGUCCUAGAGUUGCAGUUAUGGGAGUAGCUGCUGGAAACCAAACUCAGGUCCUCUGCAACAACAGUACACACGUUUAUUCCCUGAUUAAAGUUCCUGGCUCCCCGGGGGCAUUUCAUUUCUAAUAACCAUUGCAACUGGCUAGAAAGUAGUUUGCUGAAAUAAACCGAAGCAAUAAGAGUUGGGGUGUCCAAAUCUUACACAGGGAGAUUUCACUGAUGACCUUGGGUAGCAGUGUUGCUCAGUGGUAGCCAAGUACACAGGAGGCCAGUAGGUUUGAUUCCCAGUGCAAAAACAAAAGACCUCACUGAACAGCUUACUCACCUCCACACCAUUCAGAAGAUACCGGAAUUCAGGACAGAUAAAGGCACUGCCCGCGUAAGCAGCGUCAAUGUGCAGCCACACACCCUCCUGGUUGCCUAACAUCAGAAGGGAAAGGUGAGUUCUCCUCUGGACAUACCCCAACCUUGUGCGUCUAGCAUACAUACCACUUACAUAUAGCUUAUCAAUAGUACUUGUGGAACAAAUAGCUGGAUCUCCAAAAGACCCUCCCAUCAGGGGGCUAAAACUUAAGACAGAGAUACCAACAGCUGGCCAACACAUCAGCUGCCCAGAGAGUGCUUAGCAAAUGGGGGACACACAAGCCACCACUGAACAUAGUACUGAGGCCAGCAUAGCUCCCCUACUGUGCUUACCCACAUUCUCUUCUAAGUUCCAUCCACCUCAUUCCACACACCGUGAGUGCACUCCCUCAUUGUAUUUGCUACCUCUUUUCAAGUCCUCCUUUCAGAAACAGCCUUAGGACACAUGACCCAUACUCUGAUGGUCUUAGUGGUCAAUUUGGCCAGAUUUGGAAUCACUCAGAAAGGCAAAGGUCUUGUCGUGUCUGUGAGGAUGUUUCUAAGGAGGGUUAACCAAGGAUGGCAGACCCACACUGAAAGCGGGUGGCACCUUCCAAUGCAUAGAAAGAGGUCCCAGGAAAAACACGGUCACCUUCCUGCCUCAGAUGGUAUCUCCUAAUCAGCUGCAUUUAUCGCUUGGUGCUGUUCUCUGUUAGUAUCUCACUCCAGCUUCCUCGGCCUUCCCCCACGGACUCAAUACCAGAAACUUUUCAGUUAUCUGGGUUUUCAGCCGUAGAGUGGGCCUCUGGAGCAUUCAUUUCCUGGACUGAGCAGUGACUGAGUUCAUUGUGUCUCUACAUAGAGGCAGCCAUUGCAGACAAUCUAAUACAUCCCACUUUUAUAACAUAUAUGUGUAUAGAUGUGUGUAUAGGAUAUAAAUGCAUAUAUUUGAUAGAUUCCAUUCCUCUAGAGAACCCUACAUACACUUAUAUUGUUCUGCCUCUUCCAUGUCCACCACAAACUUAGGUAAUUUAUCUUAAACUACCGUUGGCUUGUGUCAUAAAUGACUUACGCUUCCUAACUAAAUUUUCCCGCUUUUGCUCUCGCUAUGAUAAAAUACCUUAACAAAAGCAACUUAAAGGAGAGCGGUUUUACUUGGCUUUACGAGGUUCAACAUAGAGGAGUUCUGACAAUGGGAGCUUGAAGCAGGUCAUCCUGGUCAAUCCAUGACCAAGAAGCAGAAAAUGACAACUAUUUGCCCUCAGCUAGCUUUCUAUUUUUUAAUGAAGUGCAGGACUCUAACUCAGAGAAUUGUGUUACCACUUUAGGGUGGGAUUUCCACCUCAAUUAACUUAAUCCAGAUAAUCCUCUAAAGGUCUGGCCAGCAGCUAAUCUAAUCUAAAUUAGGGUACUGGUGUGCCUGGUGUGUCUCCUACAAGAGUCCAGAUCCUAUCAAGUUGACAAUCAUCACUAACCUUCUCCCCCACCACACCACCACACACAAGAGCCUUAAAGAUAGAGUGCUCACAUUCUUUGAGGAUGAGAAAGCCUCCUCGGCAAGCAUAUAUGUGCCCUUAGUCAUGUAGCCUAAGCUUUAUUCUGAGGGUAAGGGUGGUAGAUACAGCUUUGAGUAUACAUUAAAUAAUACUCGUAAAUUGCCUAUUCUAUCACCUAGAAGUCAGUGAAAAUUAUUAAUUUUCAAGCAGAGCAUUAAAGGCACAGGCCUUUAAUCCUAGCACUUGGAAGGCAGAGGCAGAGAUCCCUAUGAGUUUGAAGCCAGCCUGGCCUAAAAAGCAAGUUUCAGGACAGCCAGGGCUGUCACACAUAAAAACUGUGUCUCAAAAAAACAAAACAAAACAAAACAAAACAAACCCUGAAUUUUCAUGUAUGGUAUAGUAAUAUAUAAAUUGAAACAAGUAUUCCAUGCCAGAGGGAGGCCUCUGGAAGACUCAGGAAGUAAACAAACUCAACGAUCUCUGGUAGUUUCUGAAAUUUACAAAAUUUAUAAAAUGUGCACCCCACUCUACCCAGCCUCCCAAAGUUAUAUUAAUAACAAUGGCUGCUAAGGAAAGGAGACUGUCCAGAAGAGCUGCCUACAAGUUAUGCUGGAAGCUCCAGGGUGCAGCUUCUGUGAGAUGUCAGUUAAGUUGGGCUUGGUUUUUCAGUGAUGGAGCUGCCCUUGAGCAAUCCCUGUUCCUUUGAGCAACUUCUCACCCAAAUGCCUGUAAAUAACCCAAUACAGUCGAUGUACAGUCAAGCCGGAUGUUUGUGGAGUUGUUAAUUUGGGCCUUUAAUUAGUUUCUUGUCUGAGGUGAGUAAUGCUUUUUUGUAUCUUAUCUAGGAAAAACACACCACGAGAAACAGUUCAAGCACCAAAUAUAGUCACGAGGUAGUUAAGAUAGGAAGGUUGAGGCUACAGAGAAGAUAGCAGGCAGCUAUCCCUGCACAGGUGAAGAGCCUGCUGUCCUUGUAUUCAUACAGAAUGACCCAACCACCCCUGAUUUUCCAUACAUGAUGAUCAUUAAUGUGUGUGCUGGGAGGAAAAACAAGUCAUUGUGAAUUCUGCUGAUAAAGGAUGUAAGAAACAUUCCAAAGCUUUGGUUCAAUUAUUCUUCAAAUUAAACCUCUUGGUAAGUCAAGGUCAAAUGAAUCAUAAACUUUGUGGAUACCACUCUGCCAGAACACCAUCAAAAUCUAAGAUACAACAAGAAACCCAAGUCAUCUGAAGCAAGGGUGAAGGUGUCAGACUCACCAAGUGCUCACACGCCCUCCCCUGCCCCACAGUGGGAUGCAGCAAGAGACACAGCCUUAGGAUAACACAAGACUCUCCCCAAGGAGCAACAGGAUAUGAGUGAUGGAUGGUCAUCACAGCCAUCACUCAGAUUAACCAUGAGACUGGCAGAGCUUUAUACUCCUUUGUAAGACAAGACACACUGUAAUUUGAAUGUCUGUUAAAUCCUUUGGAUCCAUUGGCUUUGGGAAGUGACCAGAUCAUCAUGGUGGAAUCCUGAGACACCGGAGAGAUUGCUCGUAUCCUCUACCAUGUGAUUAUACAUAGAAAGUGCUACCCAUUAGCCAGGCAACAAAUCAACUAGUGCCCUACUCCUGCCUUUCUACACACAAGACGUUUAAAUAGUGAACUCCUGUUAUUUACACACUCUGGGGUCUGUGGUGUUGUGUGGAGCAUCCCAAAUGGACUGAAACAAGAUGAUGUCAUGUUUUCCAUGGGUGCUGCUUGGGUUCCACAUAGACCUCUAUUUAUAGAAUUUGCUUUUUCGGCUGAAGUCCUCUAACAUAGCUCCUUAGAUGCCGUUGUUUAUGUUCCGUUCAGGAUAUCAGAUGAAGGGGUGAGACAAAACAAGAUGGAGAGUUUUCGUGGGUCAACCACAAGAAACCCUCAUACCUUGGCAUGGGAAACUAGGGUCUAGAAGGCUAUUUAGGCUUCUUUUUUCUCUCACACCCUUCUGUUGCUUAUCCCAUAUCCUCCAUCCUUGAGAGAAGGGCAUGAUUUUUGAAAAGAAAACAGGCCACUUGGCUGCACCCCUAGGUAUCUCAGAGCUUGUUUCUUAGCACCUAGAUGAAAGACAUUUCACUCUGAGUCUCAACAACUAAGUGGGGAACAGCUAAAGCCACUCUAGAAUGUGUCACCCAUAAACCUGGUUCAGUAGGUAGGAAAAUAUUCUAUACGAUGAAUCAAGUUUACGUGCAAAAUCUAACCUCUGCUCUUGAGAGAUGACCUAUAGACCUCUUUUUUCCUGGAGCUUUGGCCCCAGACAGUCUGAUACUAUGAUUAGUGAUGGAGACACCAGGCAAUUUUCACUUCUGGGGGAGUUGAUCUCUAAAGGUUCUAGUUGGGCUUCCAGGAGGGUCUGAGUAGGACCAAGUCUACACAAAAACAAGCAGCAAAAGGUUAGAGAGCCUUGCCUUCUAGGGGAAUGUCGUUACUCAGAGCAUAUAGUUAUAUAUUAUAUACGGCUAGAGUGUUUCAUGCCCUUGUGACUCCUCAGAGUUCACCAGAAGCUGUGUGUGCUCACACUUCAAGACUGUCCUGUGUGUCUCCUUGGCUGAUUUUAAUCUCUAAUCUUCAACCAUCCCUGUGAGACAGUUCUCAGUAAGUUUUAGAGUCUUUAGCAGCUUAUGGGGUCUAAAGGAGUUUGAAGAGUCCUCAGGUUGUAGCUAGUGUCUAAACAAGGGUACUCAGUCGCAAGGACCGCCUUGAGAAGUCUGCAACUUGGAUCAACUCCAAACUCCAACAAGAAAGAACUCACAAAUGCUCCUUAGAAGCUUCUGUAUGGGCUUCUCCUGGUCCUAAGGGGAAGGGAGACAGUACUGACAAUGCCUCUGUGUUCUGCAUCUUACAUGCUUGGCUAAGACCAGCCCCAUCAUCCAGGCUCUCCAGCACACAUACACAUGUAGGAGUUAUGUGGAUGUAGCAUGAACACACAACAGCCAGAUAUAGGGAGUUACAUAUGUCAGGCACAUUACCACUGAGGCCACACCCACCACCUUUUGCUUCUAAAGCCAUUGGCCUCCUGUUGCUACUACAAUCUAUUUUCUAAAAGGAUGCCUCAUUAUGCAGAAGUCAGGCCAGGGUAACCAUGGCGUACAACCUCCUUGCAAGCCCCUCUGUCCCUUGGGAUGAAGCUGUGGCAGGCCAUAGUAUACCUAUUCCCCUUCCUCAGUGUCCCCAUGUGUGUACCUAAGGCUGCCACCUAUCCAUCUGCUAUAACUUAUUCUCUCUUUAAUAAACGCUGAUCGCCUUCCACCCCCAGCAAACAAAAGGCAUUGGCUUAGAGACGGUGGGUUACAAAGGCUUAACUAUAAGACGCUACCACCAGUUAGUAUUAUUGCCCUGAUGAACACUGGCCAUGCAUGAAAGGGGUAGGUGUUGGCCUGUUAGCACCCCCAACACUGUCCUAAGAGCAAUCCCUGGGUUUGAACUCAAACUGCAAAGUGCAUAUCGGGCUCUGCCCACAGCACCCGAACCGCCUGCCAGAGGGAGCUGCAGGACAGCAGGGCAGCCUGAGCUGUGCUCAUCCAGCACUGUGAGCAUUAAUGGCAGGGGCCACCUGCUGGCUGUCAUCUUCCUGCUCCUGUGGGGAGCCAGAUUGAGUUCAGGGAUAGCAGCCGUGUAGUCUCUAUCUGGCAGAAGACUUCGGUGCUUUAAAUCUGAUAGCCCUGGGGAAUGACAUCAGCCGGCUGUUGGCCAGGACAUUCAGUCCUUGGCCUGACAUCUGAGUCAGAGGACUUCGACUUGCUUGGCUGAGCUUGUGAAGGUCUGCAGCUAACGAGGCCCACAGUACAGCCAUACUGCGGAUGGCCAGCUAGUUCAGUGUGUUCUCAGCCUGCUGUGUGUGGCUGCCGUUAGCCAGUAAUAAUCACAGCUGUGCCAUAGCUCAUAACAGGUGGAGCCAAAUCCUGAGUGAAUGGCAAGGCUGUGUCCACCCCACUUCUCACGGUUGGUGAUUAGCCUCACGGUCCUGGCAGUACAAGCAUGUACUACACGCAGUACAUGCCUUUCCUACAGCCUAUUGUCUGCAAGAACUCCCCUGAGCUGCACUGUGAAGGAAAUACUGUUUUACCAUUAUGAGAACCGUUUUUCUUUCCAAUUUUUUGAUAGGGGAAAAUGAAGGUCAGAAUUUAAGACAUGCAGCUGUAAGCUCUAAGCUUCCCUGCCGCUUAAGGUCAUGGCCAGCCCCCACAUCCACCAUUGUCUCCUGCUGGCCAGGGAACAAUGACCCAAGGGAGAAGAAGUCUUUCCGAAGAAGAGACCACAAGUAAAUCAGGGGUUAGGAGAGGUGGGAAACGUGCUUGGCCCACACGAAGUGACAAUGAAGCCAAAUGCCAAGCAGGUGGCGUGAUGUCUGGCACAAGUCGAAGGGCUGAGGUCAGAGAGCUUGCUAGGGACAGCUCCACCCGAGCCUUUACAUCCCUGAGGAACAGAGAAGGGUGAGUUUCAUGGGCUGAUAUAUCCUUGGUGCCUUAGAAACAGUUCCAAGGCCUGCUGAGUUCCCAGAGCUCGCAUCAAAGGUGAAACUUUGGAAACACAGGCAUUUCUUCAUUUUGCAGCUAAAACAGAAUUCUAGUCUCGAUGAGAAAGACAAAAUGUCCUCAUCUAGGGAGGAAGGAGGCAAGCAUGAGGCCCAGGAAAUUAUCUGAAACUGAGUGUUCUUUGUAGAAGUUUAGCUUGAAAGCAUUGAUUUGCUAAAUCAAUAUGAACAGCUAUGUGCUCCUUACUGAUGGGCAUGUCUGAGAAAUUUAUCAUUCCACAAGGCAGUCAUUGGGAAAGCUUUGUUUUGCUUGUACACAUCUCAGAAGUAACACAUGGCAUUCUAACUGGUGUUUACCCUCACUGAAAAUGUCACACUGCAUAGCACAGCACAAUAAAUUAUGCCUGUCUA